UUGUGGAGGAGGACGCCGAAGGUGGGGCUAAUGACUGGGGUGAAGUCGUAACAAGGUAGCCGUACCGGAAGGUGCGGCUGGAUCACCUCCUAACAGGGAGACAACAAAAUGUUUAAUAUUAUUAUUUUGUCACCUUAGGUCGAUCGGUAUCUCACAUUUUUGAUUUAUCAAGAAUUUCAUUUCCUAAGUUUUUCUAGGUCACACCCAUUAUUUUUCCUGGGCCAUUAGCUCAGGUGGUUAGAGCGCACCCCUGAUAAGGGUGAGGUCCCUGGUUCAAGUCCAGGAUGGCCCAUAUCUCUAUGUUGGGGGUAUAGCUCAGUUGGUAGAGCGCCUGCUUUGCAAGCAGGAUGUCAGCGGUUCGAGUCCGCUUACCUCCACUGAUUACCACCUCUUCCAUAUUUUUUAGAAAGGAAAAUUUUGAGUUGUGAUCAAUUUCUGAACGAAUCUAGCUUCCUAAUGUAACCAUUAAGAUGCUGGACUCAUUGAAUUAAUUUCUUUGUUUUCAGAGAACCUUGACAACUGCAUAGAUUAUUUUUUUAAAGACAAUAAGCAUCUUUAAUGAUGCAGAUUUAUUAUUUGUGCUAAUGCAUUAAUAACAAUUCUAUUAAGCUGAUGCUUCAAUUUUGAAGUUAUUGGUCAAGCUACAA
rnacentral:misc_RNA from 1 species